rnacentral:rRNA from 1 species
CGGACGGGUGAGUAACGCGUAGGAAUCUACCUGGUAGUGGGGGACAACAUGGGGAAACCCAUGCUAAUACCGCAUACGCCCUAUGGGGGAAAGCGGGGGACCUUCGGGCCUCGCGCUAUCAGAUGAGCCUGCGUAGGAUUAGCUUGUUGGUGAGGUAAAGGCUCACCAAGGCGACGAUCCUUAGCUGGUCUGAGAGGAUGAUCAGCCACACUGGAACUGAGACACGGUCCAG